AGAGUUUGAUCCUGGCUCAGGAUGAACGCUAGCUACAGGCUUAACACAUGCAAGUCGGAGGGGCAGCAUGUUGGUUGGCUUGCAACCAACGAAUGGCGACCGGCGCACGGGUGAGUAACGCGUAUCCAACCUACCCUUGUCCAUCGGAUAACCCGUCGAAAGGCGGCCUAACACGAUAUGCGGUUCACAGCAGGCAUCUAACGUGAACGAAAUGUGAAGGAGAAGGAUGGGGAUGCGGUCUGAUUAGCUUGUUGGCGGGGUAACGGCCACCAAGGCUACGAUCAGUAGGGGUUCUGAGAGGAAGGUCCCCACAUUGGAACUGAGACACGGUCCAAACUCCUACGGGAGGCA
rnacentral:rRNA from 1 species